rnacentral:rRNA from 1 species
GAUCAUGGCUCAGGAUGAACGCUAGCUACAGGCUUAACACAUGCAAGUCGAGGGGCAGCAUGGUCUUAGCUUGCUAAGGCCGAUGGCGACCGGCGCACGGGUGAGUAACACGUAUCCAACCUGUCGUCUACUUUUGGACAGCCUUCUGAAAGGAAGAUUAAUACAAGAUGGCAUCAUGAGUCCGCAUGUUCACAUGAUUAAAGGUAUUCCGGUAGACGAUGGGGA